UUCAUUUAAUUCUGGUGCUUCCCUUCUAUUGUUUGUUCACGUUUUGAUUAACGUCUUAGUAAAUUUCAUUCCGUGUGUUGUAAGUCAUUAGUUUUACGUCGCUGAAAGUCUUCAUCAUUCAAGUAAACGGUAUGUGAUAUAUUUCAAGGAAAACAAUGUUCUAUCAACGAGGCCAUGCUGUUUGUGUUACGUAGCAAAUGUCUUUCCAAGAAUCAGAGUUACUUUCAUUUAUUCUCAUUUAUUGUAACAGAGGUGACUGCUGUUUAUUGCCAUUCCUCUAUUGAUAUUUGCACUCGCACCAUUUGGCUUGCCAUAGUGUUUGACGUCUUUUGUUGGGUAAGUGGGUUUAGAUGAUGAUGAUGAAGUCACUUGCUGAUUCUCCUCAAUCAGCAAUGAACCAAGUCGCAAGGAAAACAUCAUCUAGUGAACCAGUUAAGCCCUUGAUGGCUCUUCUCUCUCCUUGAAUGAAUUUAUUUGAUCUCCGUCCACGUCUUUUUUCCCAUCUAAAACAAAUCCUUGUUUGAAAUGGACACUAACGUCUUGUGAAAAUAGUCCUGGUUUUAGAAUUUUGCUGGAGUCAUACACGUCCCACUCGAAUCUUGCUGUUUUGGACGAUCCAGUUUGUGUCAAGGUGUCGCUUGUAAUUAUUUCACAUCUACUGCGAAAUCGAAAUGUGGAUGGCUAAAGAAAUCGGCUCAGACGUAUUCUCUCAUCCUGGAACUUCACCGGAUGUCAAAACCGUCGUACCAUAACUUGUUCUGCAGACACCGAGACCUUUGAGACAGAAGUCAAAGAAUUAGACUGCGGAUGUGAUACAACUCGAUUAGCAAUCACAGGGACGAGACGUACGACUAACCAUAAUCAGAAGGCGACAACAGGAUCGCGCAUUAGUCAAGGACAAUGUCAACCUCCGGUGUGGAUGUAACAAGUCGGAUACAUUCGAAGUGGAGCUAGCUUGCCUUGAUCAAAGAAAAUUUCAGUCAACUUUGGUAAACAUUCCAUUGACUGAUGCACUAAGGAUGCUCUUGUGUGUACUGUUCCAUGUUUAUAAGAAUUGGACUGGAAAAAGCUGAUGCACUUUUGAGCUUCUUUAAUUAUCAUCAUCAGCCUCUGUGGCCUAAUGGAUAAGGCACCGGCCUCCUAAGCCGGGGAUUGCGAGUUCGAGUCUCGCCAGAGGUAUCUGUUCUGGAUGAUAAUACCGGGUAAAAGCAGCGUAACGAGCAACGUAAGUCAAUUGCAGAAGAAAACAAAAACUCAAAGCACAAAUGCUGGAACCAAAUUCAUUUAUUGUAUCAGUAUGAGAUGAACCCAAACUUCAAGCAUCACCCAAGUAUAGCGCACCUCUAGCACUGGAAACAACUCAUUAAAGGACAAAACCUUCCUGUAAACGAAGUUGACUCACCGUCUCACCGAAAAACUUUCAACAAUCCUCAACACUCUCUGCCAUCAUCACAAGACGAACCAACCACAAGAAAGUGGUUACACCUCGGCCGUCCGGUCUACUCGUGUGGUUGCAUCCCACUGCGCUUGGACGGAAGCCGGUGCCGCAUUUCUGCAAGCGGGUAGGAACUCUCCACAGUCAUUUUAGGUCUGAGCUCCGAAAUCGGCCAAGUCAGGCACUCAGAAACCGCAGAGGGAUCGUGGUGAGUACGUUGAGCGAUUAUCAGCGAAGAUGUUCAGGAAAGAGACUCGUGAAAAACUUUAAAAGACGGAGAAAGAUAAAUCUGAAGAAAAACAGGCGACAAGUUUGGUAUCUCUUUAAGAGAUUUGAUCAUUUCUGAGACGUGAACGGGAUUUUUAAAUAAAAAGAAAUACAGAGGUAAGUUGGAAAUUCAGGUAAAGUAUCCGUGGUUUGAUUUCGUCCAUACUGUGGUGGAUGCAGGACAAAUUUGCUGUUGAUCAAAUACGUGCAACUUAAUUACAAUCAAUAUGUUGUGAAUCCUCUAUUGCUUACACACUUAUUUCCUGAGCAAGGCAUUACAAGUUCCAGUCUCACGAAAGAUAUAAUGAUUGCAGCCAACAGUACAAAUAAUAGGAAAAACAAAUUUAGUCUACCUACGGAUACGUUUUGGUUAACUUACCGUUCAAGUUCGGAAAGAGCGUUUAAUCAUUGUUGCCUUAACCUUGUCCACGAGCUGCUACGUUCAGGAUUUUCACGAUUCCGUCCAGGUUGCAUAUUCCAUGACGUCCGCGUAAUAUAGAUCGUGCAUCGUGGCCAUUGCAUUUGACGCGUAUUCCCUUUUGGAUUAGGAUCCGAAUGACGUCGAUCAAGUUCGAGCUUGAAUUAUUUCGGCAAAGAUAAUGGAGCGCAUUCGAUCCAUUGUUGGUCUUCGUGUUCACAUUGAUCCCAUGUUGAAUUAAGAUCUUAACUGCGUCGGUUAAGGUUGAGCUUAAAUUGUGUCGACACAAAAAAUGGAGCGCAUUCCACCCUUUGUUGUCGUUGGCGUUUACGUCGAUUCCGUUUUUGAUUAAGAUUUCAAUUGCUGUGAUCAAGUCUGAGCUUGAAUGAAAACGACAUAGAAAAUGAAGCGCAUUCCAUCCAUCCAUGUCUGUUGCGUUCACGUCGAUUCCGGAUUGGAUCAAGAGUUCGAUUGCGCCGAUCAAGUUUGAACUUGAAUUGUUUUCACAUAAAAAAUGGAGCGCACUCCAUCCGUCCUUUUCCUUUGCGUUAACGUCGAUUCCGGCUUCGACCAACAGUUUCAUAGCGUCGAUUAGGUUGGAACUUGAAUUGUAUUCGCACAAAUAAUGCAUCGCGUUCCUUUCUUCUUCUCCAUUUGCAUUCACGUCGAUUCCGAGGUGAAUUAAGUCUUUGAUGUUUUUGAUUAAAGCAGGCGAAAAUUCAGUAGCACAUAAUUGACGCAAUUCUGCUUCUUUUUCAGCAACCUAAGAAUAAAUAGACAGUUAUUCAGGUGAUUGCUCGAAUUGCAUAAAACUUGCAUACCACGUUGUUUAUGGGUUUUAGUUGAACGACGACUUCUGUCAGUGUAGUUCUCCUAUUAUGGUCAUCUUUCAACAUUUUUCCGGGUAGAUCUUCCGUGCGUAGUUCACCGUCCAUUUCUACAAUAAAAGAUUUUAGUAAUAGUUAAGAGAAUACAAAGUUAUUGUAAUAAAUUAAAGUUACUCUGCA
rnacentral:tRNA from 1 species